UACGGAAGGGGCUCGCGUUGUUCGGAAUUACUGGGCGUAAAGAGCGCGUAGGCGGCUUACCAAGUUGGGGGUGAAAUCCCGGAGCUCAACUCCGGAACUGCCUUCAAAACUGGUAGGCUCGAGUCCGGAAGAGGGGCGUGGAAUUCCCGGUGUAGAGGUGAAAUUCGUAGAUAUUGGGAAGAACGCCGGUGGCGAAGGCGGCGCCCUGGUCCGGUACUGACGCUGAGGCGCGAAAGCGUGGGGAGCAAACAGG
rnacentral:rRNA from 1 species